rnacentral:rRNA from 1 species
UGCGCAGGCGGAAAGAUAAGUCAGUGGUGAAAUCCUACGGCCUAACCGUAGAACUGCCAUUGAAACUGCCUUUCUUGAGUAUAGUUGAAGUGGGCGGAAUGUGUCAUGUAGCGGUGAAAUGCAUAGAUAUGACACAGAACACCAAUAGCGAAGGCAGCUCGCUAAACUAUAACUGACGCUCAUGCACGAAAGCGUGGGGAGCAAACAGGAUUAGAUACCCUGGUAGUCC